rnacentral:lncRNA from 1 species
AUUGCACGUCAUCAUUCAAUAAAUUGAAGUUUUUUUGAGAAAAAAACAGCAUGCUAUCCGGUUCGUUCACUUUAUUCAUAAACAAACUUAGCUGAAAGUGAGAAGCAUUUAGACUUUGAAGUUGGGGUCGACUUCUGGAUACCAGCAAUCAAGCUCUUUAUCAUCUGUAUCAGAGAGUCAAUUCAAUAAAUUUAAGUUGGAGAACAAAUUAAAAUAUCAUCUUCUUUACAAUUUAAGGACAUUUGGUGUAAUAGAAUAAAAAGUCAAAAAGUGGAA